rnacentral:rRNA from 1 species
AUUGAACGCUGGCGGCAUGCCUUACACAUGCAAGUCGAACGGCAGCACGGGAGCAAUCCUGGUGGCGAGUGGCGAACGGGUGAGUAAUAUAUCGGAACGUGCCCAGUCGUGGGGGGAUAACGUAGCGAAAGCUACGCUAAUACCGCAUACGAUCUAUGGAUGAAAGCGGGGGAUCGCAAGACCUCGCGCGAUUGGAGCGGCCGAUAUCAGAUUAGGUAGUUGGUGAGGUAAAGGCUCACCAAGCCGACGAUCUGUAGCUGGUCUGAGAGGACAACCAGCCACACUGGGACUGAGACACGGCCCAGACUCCUACGGGAGGCAGCAGUGGGGAAUUUUGGACAAUGGGCGCAAGCCUGAUCCAGCAAUGCCGCGUGCAGGAUGAAGGCCUUCGGGUUGUAAACUGCUUUUGUACGGAACGAAACGGUGAGCUCUAAUACAGUUUGCUAAUGACGGUACCGUAAGAAUAAGCACCGGCUAACUACGUG